GGAUCCCUGAGAACCAGUGGGACACACACACAUGCACACACAUACACACACUAAAUGAAAUUUUAAAAAUUUAAGAAAUAAAGCUUCAGAUGAUGAAGACUGACCUUUCACUCUCCCGGGUCCUGUGGAAGACCAGCUGAUGUGACCAGAUUGUAUGGAUACAUUACUACGGUCCUUUUUCUGAAUUUCAAGCAGUGUGCCUAUAUAGAAUCAAUAUCAACUAAAUAGAUAUUCUCUUCUUGUAUCUGUACACCAGAGAACUUAAAAUUAGGGUUAAAAAAUGAGAAUGAUGGAUCUAAAGCUCAGGCCCAGAGUUCAAUCUCCAGCACUACAUAAACUGGAUGUGGUAAUACACGCCUGUGAUCCUACCCCAGCACCUGAGAAGCAGAGGCAGGAAGAUCAGAAGCCUAAAGCCAUGUUGGCCACAGAGCUCAGUGCUAACCUCAGAUACUUGAGACUCUGCCUUACCAAAAACAAAAUCACCUGAGAUUUAAAAAUUUAAAUUUGUAAAAAAUAAAGAAUUCUGUGCUUGUGUUUUUAUUGGGGUGUAUCAUGGGCCACCUUAAACAUGUUCAUCCAUUCUAAUCCUCUAGGGAUGCAUUCUGGAACUUUUUCUUUGUGCUGCUCUAUUGCAGCUAGCCCCAAGUUUCAGGCUUCUUCUUGAAAGAAAAUUUCCUUUUCUUCUUGAGGAUGCUGGAUUUUGCUGCCUCCCCUGGUUCAGUGGCCAUUUCCCCCUUUAGUUAAGAAAUGUCUUUCUCUUAGGAAGACUUGUAGAAAUAGUUGUGAUGGUUUGUAUAUGCUUGGUUCAGAGAGUGGCACUAUUAGGAGGUGUGGCCUUGUUGGAGUAGGUGUGUCACUAUGGACAUGAGCUUUUACACCCUAGUCUUAGCUACCUGGAAGCCAGUAUUCUGCUAGCAGCCUUCAGAUGAAGAUGUAGAACUCUCAGCUGCUCCUACACCAUGGCUGCCUACAUGCUGCCAUGCAUUGAUGAUACCUUGAUGAUACUGGACUGAACCUCUGAACCUGUAUGCCGGCUCCAAUUAAAUGUCAUCCUUAUAGGAGUUGCUUUGGUCAUAGUGUCUGUUCACAACAGUAAAACCCUAGCUAAGACAAUAGUAGUCCUUGUGUUUUUUAAUUUAGUCAGAUGAGCAUUAGCUUAUUGAUGCAAUGACAUUCUGUAAGCCACAGAGAAGUGACAGCGUAGUCAGGUUCAUGCUGUGUACUUUAGAAUAAGACAGAGCUGGCAAAAAUUCUUGAACUCUCUUAUUUUUACUUUCUUUCCAAGUGAAACAGGAAAUACAAUAGUUAUUUAAUAGAGAACAGAACUUAAAAAAAAACCUUCAAAUUCCCAGAUGAUAGAAAUGUACCCUAUGUUUAUAAAAGGUUGAAAUGCAUUUUAUAAAAAGGAGAAAUCAUUAAAGUUAACGCAAGAGUCAUCUUUGCCCUGGUCAAUUAUGGCAAAAAGUCUAAUUCAGUUCAAGUUUUUUACUAUUUACUGAUAGCAUAGUCUUACUCAUGUCUACUAUGAACAGACUUGGACAUUUUAUUUAUGCAUUGAACCUACAAGCUUCUACACUAACAAUAUUGAAAAUAAAUAGAUGUGCAAACUGAGUGUAGUGCUAAGUCCUGAACAAAGGACAAAUACUUAUAGGGUCAUUGCUGUUCUGAUUUCUGGAGUAUAUCUUCUCUCUUAUUUCCAUACUUGAGAUCCCCCAAAACUAUACUGGGUCCUUUCUUGAGUGCUAGGGAAAGAAAUCACCAAGACUCCAGAGCAAACAAGGCUGAACAACGAGUCUAGGACUAUUUGAGGAAAAUUUGGUUUCCCUAGCUCAUCACGAGCUUACAUCUUUCUCUUGAUCUUUGAAGUAAUUCUACAACCCAGUGUUUGUAGUAUACUGUGUAGUAUACUUGUGUACUAUAUGAAUAUAUCACUUGUCAAUUAAAAAGCCUAUGACCUAUGGCUUAGGAAGGAAAUAGAAGGUGGGACAUCUGGGAGGAGAAAGAAUUUGGAUAGAGCCAGGUAGGAGAUUGCUGGAAAGAUGUGUUAAGACUAACACAUGGCACCUGAGCACAGGUAACCAGCCAUGUAGCAGAAUGUAGGUUAGAAUAAAUAAAUGGGUUAAUUUAAUUUAUGAUUCUAGUUAGAUUAGAGCCCAGCAAUAUGGCCAAGGUAUUUGUAAAUAUAUUUUGAGUCUGAGUCUUAUUUCUAGGAGCAUGGGUCUGGGUGGAAGACCUGGACCAAACUUUGACAACUGUUACAAUACUCACAUGACAUAGACACAGUCAUAUAUGCAUCAGAAACAUACAUAAUCCAUAUAUUAUAAAUUAAUUACUUUUAAAAUAUAAAGAUUUACAUUGAAUUACAAAAUUCCCAUGUAGGCCUCCAAAGAACAGAACAGAAAGCUAGUUUGCCAUUUAUUUGAAAGCAGUGUUCCUUAGAAUUGUUGGGUGGGAUGUGCAUAGACAUGUGCUAGAACACCAUCUUAUUGCAUGACAUCCUUGUGGAUGAGAAAUGACCACCUAGGUCUAACAGUUUGAUAAGUAAAAAAGAAACUGAAAGUAAUCUCGACUCAAGAUAUGGGAGGUGAUCCACUUCACUUGGGACUGACCAUUUUUUUCUAAGUAAUCUCUUUAAAAUUCUCUAUUUGGGCACCACUUGGAGGGGGUAGGGCAGAACAUACCCGAGAUGAUGCCUGCCCAGUGCCACUAGGAGACACUCAGAGGUCCUGGGUGCCACUCAGAUGAGCAAGUAAGUGGAGGACAGAUGGAAGAGAAAGAGAAACAACGGUGUGUGCAUUAUGAACAGAGGCAGAGCUGGAGACUCGAAGGUGGCAAGCAACAACCUGAUGUGAGUCACCUGUGCUGAUGUCUGAGGCCAUGGUGACAUACUGGUGAGUGCUGCCCCCACCCCCCAGGACCAUAUCUGUGGACCUGCAGCAGUGGGCUUGUGGGGAUGCCUUUGGCCAAUGUCACCACCAUGGUAAAGCCAUGAUGAUGUCCCUGGUCUGGACUGCUGCCUGGGGCCAUGUUCACAUCUGAGGGCUGUGCAGGGCUGGCGAGGCCCCUCACUGUUCUGAGGGCAUGAACAAGGGAGAGUUGGCUCACCCAACAUGGGCUGCAGCACCACAUGGACCCAGUGCCCACAGAGGCCAGAAGAAGGCUUCAGAUCCUCUGAAACUGGACUUAAAGAUGAUUGUUAGUGCUGGGGACCGAACCCUGGUUCUUUGGAAGAUCAACACUGAGCCAUCUUCAUAUCUUUCUGAGCAAGCAUUAUAUAUAAUAUAGUAUAAUUAUAGUCUAAUAUAGUAAGGCACAACUAUGUCAACUGAAUUUAUUCUGAAUCCACAGAAAUUCUCACCUGGUAAGCACAUGUGUACCAGUCAUGGGGUUAUAAAAAGAAUGGAGAAUGUAGAAGUGGACUCUCAGCUAGGUGCCACUUCCUUUUUAAGAAUUUUUGCUGUAAAUUGGAAAAUUAAAAUUAUGUAUGAUUGUAUAUAUUAACAGAUUAUAAAUGUAAUUGUACAAAUUAUACAAAUUGUAUAAAUACAUACCUCAAAUAC
rnacentral:lncRNA from 1 species